GGACAUAUUUCACGGUUGGCAUUGAAAAGCGAGUACUGACCCGAUCUCCGUUCCUCCACAUGCUUGUAAGUUGUAACAAUCCAAUCCAACUCAUCAUCUGCUGGCCAAACAUGAGGUCUCCUCUAUAGCCACGUCUUUAUGGCUUUCCUCCCUUGGUUGGUGGCUUUUAGAUCUUGUUUUAAGUCAGAUAUUUCUUUCCUUAAAAAUUAAAUAAAAAAAAAAAGAAAGAAAAAGAGUCGGAUAAAAUUGACCAAAACCCUGUCUGUAAAUUAGAAAAAUAUCUUCUCCCUCUGUCUCCACGGACUUCAAAUUUCUAUGGAUAAACACCGAUUCACAUGAUUGAUCCCCUUCGUUCCCUCACUUUUGAGUUUUCUAUUAAUCCAAUUUUGUUCAUCUUUGAUCUUCUUCUUCUUCUCAGUCUACGCAGCCGCUCCAAUGCUUCAGCUGUUCUUCGCAGUCGCUUUCUCGGCAGUGCCACUGGCGCUCUAUGUGCCGCCGGUUCGGAGCCUCAAUCUCUUCGUCGAAACCCUAGAGGAUCUUCUUCGUCACACUGCCAUCCAUACGCUUACACUUUUUCCUCGGUUUCGCAUCGCCUUCUCUCGACUCUUCCGCUCCCUCUUCGGCGCCUCCUAUUCUUGAGAAAACAAAUCCGACUAGGCCGUGAGUUCGUAAAUCUCUGCCCCUAUAUUAUUCCUCUACCUGUCCAACCAAUAUCUACUUCAGGUGAUCUACAUUACCAAUACAAUAUACGCUCAUGAUAUAAUCACAUCUUCAUUAUCUAUUCUGUGAUUGGGCUGGAUCAUCGGGCGGUCGGAGUCAGUUUUUUGCCAAUUCCGACGUCGAACCCGACGGUUUUCCUCUGCUGUUGGGCGCCGACCGACAGAACCGAUCGGUUGGUCGGCCGGUUUAACUGACUUUCACUUUUUUAAUACCGUUAAUAUUUUGAGGGGGAGGGGGUGGCGGCACGCGGCGCAGUUGCAGUGAGGGAGAAUGAGAGUAGAGGGAGGGAGGGGCGGUGCAGCGAGGGAGUCGAGAGAGUAGGGGCGACCAGCGAGGGAGAAUGAGAGCAGACGGGGGAGGGGCGGCACAGCUACUGGCGAGGGAGAGUGAGAACAGAGGGGGGGCGACCGAUGGAUUCGUCGGUUCUGAAAUUUUAGAAUCGACGACGUCGAAAUUUUCUUAGAAAGUGCAACGUAUUUUGAGAUC